rnacentral:ncRNA from 1 species
UGCAAACCUUAGAUAAGGCUAGUAGUAAUAUUAUGAUUUUUAGAGAGUUAGUGGUUGGUGUAAACUAAUAUUUAUGUAUUAUGAAUCCACCUUUGAGGGACUGUGAAUUAAGCAGUACGGUAAUAUCGUUAAAUUUUAAGAGUGAAUAACAUUUUAUGUUAUUAAUUAGGGUGGCAACGCGGAGUUUUUCGUCCCUUUU